rnacentral:lncRNA from 1 species
AACAGCAGGAUGUGGGUGGGGCCAGAUAAGAGAAUAAAAGCAGGCUGCCUGAGCCAGUAGUGGCAACCCGCUUGAGUCAGCUUCUGCAUUGUGGAAGGUUUGUUCUUUCUCUCUUUGCAGUAAAUCUUACUGCUGCUCACUUCUUGGGUCCACACUGCGUUUAUUAGCUGCAACGCUCACUACUAUGGUCUGCAGCUUCACUCCUGAAGCCAGUGAGACCACGAACCCACCAGAAUGAAGAAACUCCGAACACAUCCGAACAUCAGAAGGAACAAACUCCGGACAGGCGGCCUUUAAGAACUGUAACGCUCACCUCGAGGGUCUGCGGCUUCAUUCUUGAAGUCAGUGAGACCAAGAACCCACCAAUUCCGGACACAAUGUUACCCCAGAUAAUCAGCGCCAUUUUCUGAAGCUUGAGAUGCAGGAAAAGAGGAGUGCUAUCCAUUAGAUGGAGACAGGAAGUAGAAAAAGGAACCCCAAGGAGCAUGAGGACAUCCUGAACAGAGGCCACCUCAGGGGAGCUGAAGGAGCAGGAGAGCAGCCCUGGUACACCCUACCCAGGCUCACCUCCUCCCGCAGAACUAAGCCAGGGCUGAGAAGUUCCUUGAAAGAGGCUGCUCUUUGGAAGCCUUGCACAUUUCUGAAGGCUGCCAAGAGAGUGUGCGGCUGAAACCAGAGUGAGGACCCAUGCUUCCUUGAGGUGGAGCCCAGGCACUUGGGCAAACAGCUGAUAGGAGUUCAUUUUGUGAAGCUGUGACGAGUUUUCCAGUAGACCAUGAGCUUGCUGAUGGCAGGAGCCUGCCUGUCCUUGAUCCUUGUUUCUGUGGGGUCUGUCCCAGUGCCUGGCACAGUGGCUUUGGAGAUGGAAGGAAUAGAGGGAGAGCAGAUCCUCAAACACAGCCUGCAUCUCUCCCUGCUCCCCUCCCACCCUCCAGUUUUCCAGCCAGAGGCAUUUGCUCUAAGGCCCAGGCUGUGGCCCACCUAUCACCGCUACCCAAGUAGUACAGGUAUGAUUGUCUGUUUACUUUCUUUAAUUCAAAUCACACUAGAGAAAUUUCAGGACUCACUCACUGAUAAAUCAUGGUUACUUACCUCUUGUCUAGGCCCUUGGGCAAGGGUGCAUUGAUGCAUCUACUAUGAUUGCCUGGUUAUCUUGGUCUUGGAAGCACCUAGUAAUGAAAGAACCCAGAGAAAGAUAAACAGAGCCAAGGGAGCCAAGGUUAAUCUUUCUGAGCCUAUUUCUUCCUUUAUGUAACUGGAAUAUUGUUUCCUGCCCCACCUACUUCACAAGGCUGAAAUGAGGAUUAAGCAAGUUAAUGGCUCUCAAGGUCCACCAGGAAGGAUGGAGUUCUAGAUACAUAUUGGGUUCCUCUAGUCCUUACAUAUUGCAAAAGACUUGGGUAAAGCUUCUGGAAGAGCUAGGCUGACCAAUCUUCCUGACUUACCCAGGACUGAGGGAUUCCUUGGGAUGCCGGAAUUUCUGUACUAAAACCAGGAAAAUACAAGGCAAACCUGGUUGAGGUUGAGUUGGUCACUCUACACAGAGGUAGCACUUAACCAGUGUCUGUCCUGGGCUAUAAUGGUGUCCCUCCAAAACUCAUGUUGAAGCCCCAGUACUUUAGAAUGUGACUGUAUUCGAAGAUGGGGCAUUGAAAAGAGGUGAUUAAGUUAAAAGGAGGCCAUCAGGGUGGGCUCUAUUCCAAUCUGACUGGUGUCCUUACAGGAAGAGGAAAUUUGAAGAGGAAAAGAGGCACCAGGGAUGAGGACACACCGAGAAAAGACCAUGUGAAGACAUGGUGAGAAGACAGCCAGCUGCAAGCCAAGGAGUGAGGCCUCAGAAGAAACCAACCCUGCCGAUACCUUGACCUUGGACUUCUAGUCUCCAGAAUUAUGCGAAAAUAAAUUCCUGUUGUUUAAG